rnacentral:rRNA from 1 species
GCCCGGGAACUACGAGCAAAGCUUAAAACCCAAAGGACUUGACGGUACCCCAUAUCCCCCUAGAGGAGCCUGUCCUAUAAUCGAUACCCCCCGUUCAACCUCACCAUUUUUAGUUUACCAGCCUGUAUACUUCCGUCGCCAGCUUACCGCGUGAGCGUUACAAGUAAGCUUAAUGUCCACCCACAACACGUCAGGUCAAAGUGCAGCAAAUAAAAUGGGAAGAGAUGGGCUACACUUUCUAGCAUAGAAAAUACGAAAGACUACAUGAAACCCAGUCAGAAGGCGGAUUUAGUAGUAAGAAGGGUAUAGUAUACCCCCCUUA